UGCGUGGUCAAGCAGUAAGGAUACUUGCCUUUCACUCUGGAGUCCCGGGUUCGAUCCCCGGUCGAAAAG